rnacentral:ncRNA from 2 species
UCCAGCCAUUGUGGUGAUUUGGCCGGCCGGCUUGCAGCCACGUUAAACAACUUGCUAAAUGGCCGACGGGAUUGCUUC